GCCACUGGAAAAGAAAUAGGUCACUCAUUAUGUGUUUCCAGGACUCGUUAAUGUGAAACAGAAGUGAAACUGCAUCAUUGCCUGGGAUUACUGGAGUUUGCAUAAGGCUCCAGGAAAUUCCUUACUUGCGACACUCCUUGGCCAGCACUGUAUCUGCCCUUGUCCUUUCUGAUAAAGUCCACCCCAUGUUGUCUGUGUACUUGUCCUUAAUCUUUCUUUGCUUGUCAGUUGGCUAGAAAUGCUUUACUGCUAGGAGUGUAACCAUUUUUAGUCCUGACGUAGGAAGACAGCUAGAAGAUAGUAGUAAAUUGUGCUGACAGGAAAAAGGCCAAGUUGGAACUCGCAUGCAUGUAAAUCAUCCUGCUAGUUAGUCAUCGCUCUCACCAAUAACACCACGGAUCUGGAGUGUGACUUGAACAGAGCGGCGGUGUGAAUGCUCAGCUGGCCUGGAUUCUGCGGACUUUGGAAAGCCCUUAGGAGAGGAAAAUGAAGCUCAAGAGGUUAAAUAACUUGCCCAACAUCCUGGCUAGCAAACAGAAGAGUCAGGAUUUGAGUGAAGGUGUGACCCAAUUACUGUGCUGUACUGAUAAAAGGAAAACUGAAGGAGAAGGGCAUGCCAGGACAAGGAAGCAGUAUAUUAAAAGGCCUAGAAGCUGGAAAGAGCACAGAGCCUUCAAGCUCCCGGUGAAAGCAGACUUACCCCAUUUAGGAAACGCAAUUACCCGAGUUUGUUAUGUGGUACAACGGUAUCUUUCUCCUGUCUGUCAAGAGUUGAAGAGGAUUUAUUAACCAAAGUGGUGAGGUGAAGUUAACUCAACUGUCAAAAAUGACCAAUUUUCAGGCUUGAACCUAGUUCAGAGCAAUUUCCACUCUGUCUUUCUACAUAUCAAAUACAUAUGAAAUACAAAGUUACGGAGAGUGUUCACCCUCUCAUUAUUGUGACAGAAAUCAGGUAGCUUUCAUUUGUACUAAAACAUGAAAUCCCGGAUGACUGUGAAGAGAGAGACCACAGAGUCUCUGGUGCUCAGCACCCCCUGGGUCCUGGCCCACCAUGAACAAGAGACUCCACAGCAUCUGCCUGUUUGGGGAGCAGAGACCCACACUCUCAGAAGGCUUGGAUGUGGGAUCCAGAAUCCAGGACUCUGCCGGAGAACCAUAGGUCUCUGGGAAGACGACCCAAUCUCAUGGGCCUCUGGUGACUCAGCUGUACAAGAAGAAGCAGAGAGAACAACUAACCAUGUUGAGCCACAAAAUUGUUUAACUGCCUUACAAAAGAGACAAUAAUUCGGGAAAAAAUAUAACCAAAAACUAGGAAUUAACUUAAAAAGCUUGCCUCCAAGCAGAGGGAAGAAAGAAGUAAGAAUGAAAAGGGAAACUAGAUUUCUUUACACCUAUCUUGUUUAUAAUUUUGAGUAUGGAAAUACAUAAAGAUGUUACAGAAUUUUGCAAAUCUAGUAAGAGACAAAUAUACCUAUGCAAUAUUUACAAAAGGAACACAGACUGAACCAAAUUAAUUGAUGUAUUUCAAGUAGAAAUCUUAACCAGGAAGAGAAGAAUGACCUCAACAGAUGUAAUGACAUAGUAUUUUGAAAGCACAGCCCUCCUGUGAUAAAAGCACAAAAAGAAAUCCUACAGUGCAUUCAUUAUCCCGAUGGGCAACCCAGGAAUAGUAUGGUCCUGAGACUACUUUGAGAGUUAUUUUAAAGCUACUAGCAUAAGUAGGCCAGGAGUAGUUUUCACAUCUGUAAUCGCAGCACUUUGGGAGACUGAGGCAGGUGGAUUACCUGACGUCAGGAGUUUGA